rnacentral:rRNA from 1 species
AUUGAACGCUGGCGGCAGGCCUAACACAUGCAAGUCGAACGGUAACAGGAAGCAGCUUGCUGCUUUGCUGACGAGUGGCGGACGGGUGAGUAAUGUCUGGGAAACUGCCUGAUGGAGGGGGAUAACUACUGGAAACGGUAGCUAAUACCGCAUAACGUCGCAAGACCAAAGAGGGGGACCUUCGGGCCUCUUGCCAUCGGAUGUGCCCAGAUGGGAUUAGCUAGUAGGUGGGGUAACGGCUCACCUAGGCGACGAUCCCUAGCUGGUCUGAGAGGAUGACCAGCCACACUGGAACUGAGACACGGUCCAGACUCCUACGGGAGGCAGCAGUAGGGAAUAUUGCACAAUGGGCGCAAGCCUGAUGCAGCCAUGCCGCGUGUAUGAAGAAGGCCUUCGGGUUGUAAAGUACUUUCAGCGGGGAGGAAGGGAGUAAAGUUAAUACCUUUGCUCAUUGACGUUACCCGCAGAAGAAGCACCGGCUAACUCCGUG